rnacentral:tRNA from 2 species
GGACUAGUGCCCGAGUGGUUAAAGGGGGUGGAUUGUAAAUCCAUUAGUUUUACUUACGCUGGUUCGAAUCCAGCCUGGUCCA